AGAGGGGUGGCGUGUAAUAAUAAAUGGUGGUAGCCUAAUUGGUGGUAGCACUGCACUCGAGAGAUUUCGGAUCACGCCGCCGACGCAGUGCGACAACCAACCGCUUUCAUCAGUCUUUCACGAACAAUCAUCAUGGCCGAUAACGAACGUAUACGAAGGCGUCGGCGCAGCAAGGGGGAGCGCCGUUCGUGUGCAAAGGUGGCGGUCGGGGUGGCCUACCCCCGCAUCAACCGCCCGCGGAACAUCAUCCUGGUUGACAUAACCGCCGAGUUGGAGGCGCUGAGAGCUACGUGAUAUCGCGGCAGCCACCGCAGCCCGAUACCGACACGGGCGGCGGCGGAGAAGAAAAGAAAAUGAAGAAUGGAAGGGCGAAAGGGCGGAGAAAUGAACAAAAAAGAAAAAUAACCGCCGCCGCCCAGGGGGCGACCGGGCACCUGCAGUCUAUCACUACUACCACAGAUAGUGAUAUUGCUUGAACGGGGGCCGGCGGCGCUGCCCCCAAAAGAUAAUAAAUAUCUUUUAAAAUAUA